rnacentral:misc_RNA from 1 species
CUAGUUUAGGGUGCUCAAGCGCCCAAAACUUCAACCCUUUGACUUAUUUAACCUGUUUCUUUGCCGGUUUCGGCCGGCAGAAGUUUUCUCAAACUCAUUAGAAAUGUGUCUUCUGAAAUUCAAAUAAAUAAAAGUA